CCUACGGGGGGCUGCAGUGGGGAAUAUUGCACAAUGGGCGCAAGCCUGAUGCAGCCAUGCCGCGUGUGUGAAGAAGGCCUUCGGGUUGUAAAGCACUUUCAGCGGGGAGGAAGGCGUUAAGGUUAAUAACCUUGGCGAUUGACGUUACCCGCAGAAGAAGCACCGGCUAACUCCGUGCCAGCAGCCGCGGUAAUACGGAGGGUGCAAGCGUUAAUCGGAAUUACUGGGCGUAAAGCGCACGCAGGCGGUCUGUCAAGUCGGAUGUGAAAUCCCCGGGCUCAACCUGGGAACUGCAGUCGAAACUGGAAGGCUAGAGUCUUGUAGAGGGGGGUAGAAUUCCAGGUGUAGCGGUGAAAGGCGUAGAGAUCUGGAGGAAUACCGGUGGCGAAGGCGGCCCCCUGGACAAAGACUGACGCUCAGGUGCGAAAGCGUGGGGAGCAAACAGGAUUAGAUACCCUAGUAGUC
rnacentral:rRNA from 1 species